rnacentral:lncRNA from 1 species
UUUUUUUUUCUUUUGAGGCAGGGUCUCCUUCUGUUGCUCAGGCUGGAGGGCACUGACAAGAUCACUGCUCACUGUGGAGGCUACAACCUCCACCCCUGGGCUCAAUCAAUCCUCCACCUCAGCCUCCCAAGUAGCUGAGACUUACAGGCAUGCGCCACCAUGCCUGGUUAAUUUUUGUAUUUUUUGUAGAGAUGGGGUUUUGACCUGUUGCCCAGGCUGUCUUGAACUCUUGGGCUCAAGCAAUCCACUAGCUUUAGACUCCCAAAGUGUUGGGAUUACAGGCUUGAGCCACCUUGCCCAGCCAUAGUUGAACAACUAUUUACAUAGCAUUUACAUUGUAUUAAGCAUUAUGAGUAACCUAGAGAUGAUUUAACAUAUACAGGAGGUUAUAUGCAAAUAUAAUCAUGUUAUAUCAGGGACUUGAGCAUUGUAGAUUUUGGUUUCCGCUGGGGAUCCUGGAAUCAGUCCUGAAGGACAACUGUAUUUCCGUGGAAAAUGCAUAACUAAGUCAGAGCCCGGUAUUCUUCUGCCUAUAAGUUGUCUGAAAAAGACGAUCCUUCCUUCAUUUAGGAAGCUUAGUUUUGCUGGAUACACAAUUCCUGGCUGAUAAUUGUUUUGUUUAAGGAGCCUGAAGAUACGGGUCUAAUCCCUUUCUGAGUGUUCUCUCCUGAAUCUAUAUUGAAGCUAUGGACAAAAGCAGAUUUAUUUCAGGGGUGAAAAAAUAAGAGUGUAAAUUCACCUGGACCCAGACUCAGGGAGGCUGCAGCCCCUGCUGCUUCCGGAGUGCAGGUGAUUGCUGAGAUACCUGGAACUGGGGUUCCUCCCCACACCCUAACCUCAGGAACCUGUGAACAUAUUAGGUUAUGUGGUAAAGAGAAUUAAGGCUGCAGAUUAAAUUAGAGUUGCCACCCAACUGAUGUUCAAAUAGGAGAUUGUUCAAUUGUUCUAGAUUAUUUGGGUGAAGCCAAUGUGAUCACAAAGAUCCUUAAAAAUGGAAGAGAGGCUGGAUGCAGCGGUUGACACCUAUAAUCUCAACACUUUGGGAGGCCAAGGCAGGCAGAUCACUUGAGGUCAGGAGUUCAAGACCAGCCUGGCCAGCAUGGUGAAACUCCGUCUUUACUAAAAAUACAAAAAAUCGCUAUAAGCUGUAGGCUGGACUGUUCUGACUGGUCAGCUACUGGUGUCGGAGGGGGUCAGUCCCACCUGAAACAUAUGGUGGUAAGUUUCCUGAGGCCUCCCCAGUCAUGCUUCCUGUACAGCCUAUGAAACUGUGAGUCCAUUAAGCCUCCUUUCUUUAUAAAUUACCAAGUCCCAGGUACUCGGGAGGCUGAGGGAGGAGAAUCACUUGAACCUGGGAGGUGGAGGUUGCAGUGAGCUGAGAACACACCAUUGCACUCCAGCCUGGGCAAUGAGAGCAAAACUCUGUCUCAAACAAAACAAAACAAAACAAACACAAUGUAAUACCACCUUAUUCCUGCAAGAAUGGCCAUUAUCAAAAAAUUAAAAAAUUAGAGAUGUUGGCAUGGACGUGGUGAAAAGGGAACACUUCUACACUGCUGGUGGGAAUGUAAACUAGUACAACCACUAUGGAAAACAGUGUGGAGCUAACUUAAAGAACUAAAAGCAGAAUUAUCAUUUGAUCCAGCAAUCCCACUACUGGAUAUCUACCCAGAGGAAAAGAAGUCAUUAUUCAAAAAAGAUACUUGCACACACGUUU